rnacentral:rRNA from 1 species
GACGAACGCUGGCGGCGUGCCUAACACAUGCAAGUCGAACGGAGAUACGAUUUCGGUUGUAUCUUAGUGGCGAACGGGUGAGUAACGCGUGAGCAACCUGACUCUUAGAGGGGGAUAACACUCGGAAACGGGUGCUAAUACCGCAUAAGACCACGACAUGGCAUCAUGACGAGGUCAAAGGAGCAAUCCGCUGAGAGAGGGGCUCGCGUCCCAUUAGAUAGAUGGCGGGGUAAUGGCCCACCAAGGCUCUGAUGGGUAGCCGAGCUGAGAGGCUGAUCGGCCACACUGGAACUGAAACACGGUCCAGGACUCCUACGGGUGGCAG